rnacentral:lncRNA from 1 species
AUUUCAUGGAACUAAAUCGAUAGUUGUAGUCAAUUUAAAUUAUAACAUGAUAUCUGUCUGCAAUGUAAAAUCCCUCGAAGAGCUUAAAUAAUCUAUAUUUUUUGUUUAUGCAAAUCUUCACCAAAUAAUUUUUUUGACUUCAUGGGUUUUGUUAAAUUUUCAUACCAUAAAAUCGUUUAUUAAAUUAUAUAACUUAUAAAUUGAAUUAUCUGAUAGAAUUGUAGAAACAUCUGGUUGCACAAGCAAACAAUAACACUCGCGACACAAACCAGUCUGCUCCGAUUCAUUUAGGCAAACGUUCAGCACUAAAAACACUACAGAAUAAGCGCAUUAGCGACUCUAAAAUGUUGCCAUAAAUCGCAUUUUAAUUAAAAACAGAACUUUAUAUAAAUACAUAAAGAUGUAAAAACAUCUGAAUGCAUAAGCCUUGUAAAACAGACAAAUGCUAGAAUCUCAGUUACAUAUUGUUAUCGGCAACGUACAGCACUGAAUACACUACCAAAAAGCACAUCAGAGACUCUAAUUUGUUGCCUUUCAUGCCAUUAUUACCGAAUAAAUCAAUUGAACUUCAAAAAAAAUAUGAAUUAGUGAAAUUAAUACGAGAUUUUGAAAACGGAAUCGUAGGCUCAGUUGAAUGUUGUAUAAUCAUCAAAGAAAAGCGUAAAGCUUUCAGAGUUUGAUGGUAUGUUUGUUUUCGUCAUCAUUGCCUUAAUCAGCAAUUAGAAAAGGAAAAAACACAUGUUCAAACAUACAAAAUAGAUUCGUGAAUUGGUAAAACGAGAAGAAUAUAGAGCAAUGAAUCUAACCUCAGAAGCCAAUUCCUUGCAAGUGUUAACGGAAGAAGGAACGAUGUUGAUUUAGAUGCUGCUUGAAGACGUAGUUAUAUACAAACUAAUGAAACCUAGUUCCACUAUACAAUUUAUUGGGCCGGUCCACAUUUAUUUUCUUUUUCGGUUUUAGUUAUUUGUUUUUUAACAUUUUAGGGAAAACUAUAAAAAAGUUUUUUAAAUAUUUUCUCUUAUAAUCAAUUUAGUCCUUAUGAGAAAUUGAUAAUAGCUGUUUUUAUCGCUUAUAAAUGAGAUUUAAGAGUUGUUUGAUAGUUGUUGAUUGAGUCUGAUCGGACAGAAUCACAAGCAUGAGUCUAAAAUUUGAUUGAAUCAACAUUUGACCAGAACCAUAUUAUUUGAUAAUACGUCUGACUGGCUGUGAUGAAUGUUGAAAAUUAUCAUUUUGACCUUUUAUUUAAAAUAAUAUAAUAUACCAACUAGUGCAUUGAUAAAAAAAACAAUAAACAUCGCAUAAUUAUAAUUACAAAAUAUAAAGGUUACCCCCGCUACGCGGGGGCCAAAAGUUUUCAAUGUUGUUUUCGAAUCGAUAAAUAUGACAGACGUAAAAAAUGUAAGAAUAAAAAUCCCGGGCUUUGCCCCGGACCGUUUUUUUCAUGUUUUUAUGAAAAAAUGUAAAAGUUUUGACUGCAAGGAUCAGAAGUGUCAAAACGGAUAAAUAAUUAAAGAUGUUGGAAUUAGCAAAUUUUUAGAAAAGGGAUCAAAGUUGUCAAACUGUUAAAGUUUUGUGAUCAAACUUUAAAUAUUAAAAGGCUCCUAAAAAGUAUAAAAAUAUUGAUUGUAAAGACCAAAAGUGUCAAAAUAAGUAAAAAAUAAGGAGCAAAGUGCAGGGACCAAUUUUGCUAAAAAAAUUAUAGAUUUAUUAUUCCUUUUGUUGACAACUUUAAUAUAUAUAUAUNNNNNNNNNNNNNNNNNNNNNNNNNNNNNNNNNNNNNNNNNNNNUCACAUAAUUAAUAUAUAAAUCGUUAAAUUUGAUAAUAUUUUUUCAUUAUUCAUAAAUUUCUUAAAAGUUCAUAACUAAGUCACUAUUCCAAAAUCAAUAUUAGAACCAUCCUAACAAGUCUCAUGACAGUAUUAUGCAAUGUUACAUAACUAACAUAUAAAACGUUAUAUUUCAUAAUAAUUUCUUAUUAUUCAUAAACUUCUAAUAAGUUUAUAAAUGGGUUCACAUACUUGUUUACUUAUGUAACAUAUAUUUUAUAUGAAAUAAUAACAUUAAAAAAAAGAUUUUAUAUUCUUAUUAUAGAAUAAUAUGCAUUGACCUUGUUUAUAAGCUAAAACAUUAAACACCUAAACAGGUAAUAAAAAUUGUUAAAAUAUAUUUAAUAUUUAUAUUUUUCAUAAACAUACAUGUAACAGAGUAAUAUAUUAACAAUAUAUUUAAUUUUUCUAAUAAUAACAACUUAAAGAAGGGUAAAAAGUGAUAAUUAUAUAAUAGAAAAUAAGUGAAAGUGCUAUAAUCUUCCAGUUUAGUUUACUCGGUCAGUAAUAUUUUUUAGAUGAUUAGGUAAGAGCCCGAAAAGUAAGAGAUUAAAUUUUAAUGAAACCAAUGGUAUGACUGUUGACCGAGUCGGAGAUUACCUCUUACUAGACUUAGUAAUAAACAAAACAAACAGACUUUUAGUGGUUAUUCAAUUAUACAACUUGAAAUGACAGCAAAUGAACCCCUUCCAUGGACUUUAGACGAAGAGACCACAAUCAUUCGAUCUUGGUUAUCAUCAAGGAUAAUGUUAUUGUCAUUAGUCUCUUACAUUUGAUGUAUAGAUCGCCUUGGUUCCAUUUUGACAAAUAUGUUCACUACAAAUUAAGUCGUAGAACAUACCGAACAAAAGAAGAAGUGAAUGAUAAGUUUAAGGAUUUUGAAAAAAAGAGGUGAAGAUGUUCAACAAAAUUUAUCACAAUAUCAACAAUGAAUUGUCGAAUGAAGAUGAAGAUGUAAUUUUGGAGGCGAGUAGGGAGCCAUACUAAAUCUAACGUGACGAAGCCAACUUUUCAUAAGAAGAUAUUUGGAAUAUUUCAAAAGUUGUUAUAUAUUUCUAAUUUAUGUUUUUUAUUUGUUUUAUGUAAUAAUAAGUAAUGAUAAUUGGUUGAUUUUGGUUAUAUAGCUUGCACCUUGACCUUUUUCUUUUGAGAUUCAUGUUUUUGGUCAUAAUUGGUUGAUUUUGGUCCCUUCAUGGAUGCACUUGGAUUUUGGGUAACUUCAGAGCUUUAUUAUGACACUCUUGUGGUCACGAACUUUUGAUUAAGUGAGAAAAGCUCUUAGUUUGAGUGUUCUUGAUCCCAUGCACAAGUGUUGGCUAUAUUAAAGACUUAAUGGACUUAGGGUUGUAGAUCUUGCUUUGAGGUGAGGUCCUAAUGGAUUGGAGAGUCAUAUUUGUUAUGACAUAUCGAAGCUUAGGUAUUUAUCUUAGUAGUGAAUGUUAUGUUAAUGUUGAAGGUCAACAAGACUUUGAUAGUGUAUAUAUUUUACUAGGCGCUUUUUUAGGUUCGUUGUUAAUGUCGAAGUCCUAGUAUACAUUUUGCAUUCAUUGAGUACCCUAUAAUAAUAGGUACAUAAGUUAGAUGUAACUUUUGUCAUUGCAUGCAUUAUACUUUCUCUCUCUACAUGUGUAAUUGUACCAAUUUGGAUAAAUCAAGCUGAAACAUGAUCUUAUUUACAUGUUGUGUUCAAUUUGUAUUCUGAGUUUCAUUUAAAAUUGAUUAAACAUCUUUUGCAUUGGUAUCAAAGCAGGAUUGACAUAUCGAUUGAAAAAUCUCGUUAGUGUUUUCAUUUUAUUGAAUCUUUUGUUCUAGUUCAAUCUUUCCAUAAGUAAAAACAUAAUUCUUCGAUUGAUCCUUGUGAUUUAACGAUUCUGAGAUCGUUAAUCAAUCGUUUUGUAUCUGAUUUCUUUCUCUUCAAGUUUUUCCUCUUUUCACCUCGAUUCAAUAGAGAAUUUGAAUGUUAAAACCAUGAUGAACUAUUCAAAUAUGCUUGGAUCUUCCAAAAAAAACUCCAAUGUUGCUUCUGAAAUAUUACAAUCGGUGAGUGGGCAGAUCGUAUGGAAGAUAACUUCAACGGGAUCGAUGAGGAUUUGUGGAGAUUGAUUGACAAAAGGUCUAUAUCGUGACGAUCGUCUUCAAGUAUUAGGUACAACAGGUGAAGCUAAAGAUAUGAUUGUUCAUGCUAACAAGAGAAAAGCUAAUGAAAAGAGCUAUCUUCACGAAUUACGUGGAGUUUUGCCACCAGUCGUGUACAACUACAUUUGAGGCUGCGAGACUACAUAAGAUAUCUGGAACACACUCAAGGAAAAUGUAACGACCCAAUUAUCACGUCCAAAAAUUUCAUUUUUAAAUCAAUACUUUGGAAAACAUUUGUGAAUAAACAUCUUUUGAUCCUAUCAUUUCAUAAACAUAUUUCGUGUCUGAAAACCAAAACAUAAAAACAACCAUAAUGUCAGAGUACAAAAUCCCAGAGUAACUCAUGGUGCAGAACACAAUGUGCGUGUAUGAUGUGCCGCUACCGCGCCAGCUCCUUCCCCUUCGAAGAAGAGGUACCUGAAAACAAAACUGUAAACUGUAAGCAUGAAACUUAGUGACUUCCCCCAUCGUACCACAUACCAUACAAUCACAUAACAUACAAAUACUGUCAGGCAUAUCUGGGUGCCCGACCUACCCCUUCGGUCCUUUCGACCGGAUACUGCCUAACAUAUCUGGGUGCUGGCCUCCCCUUCGGUCCUUUCGACCGGAUACUACCUAGCAUAUCUAGGUGCUGGCCUCCCCUUCGGUCCUCUCGACCGGAUAGUGCCUAGCAUAAGUGGGUGCUGGCCUCCCCUUCGGUCCUUUCGACCGAAUACUGCCUAGCAUAUCUGGGUGCUGACCUCCCCUUCGGUCCUUUCGACCGGAUACUCGGAGACUAUUUCACCCCUACUACUACCACAUAAUAUCAUAUCACACAUAUCAUAAUCUGGCUAGCAUGGCUGGGUACUAAACUGCCCCUUCGGUCCUAUCGUCCGGUAACCGGGGACUAUUUCACCCCUACUACCACUAUCACAUAACAUCAUAACAUACUAGCACAUAAACAUAUCCAUUAGUAGAAAACCUAGAUGAAUAUCACAAAGACAAUCAUCUAACAUACAACUCCUACUGGUGGGCCGGCAUUGUGGCCGUAGACCCACCGCUACUGGAAGGUAACUCACCUCGAAAAGUAGCUGCUGAAAGUCUGCUUGCUAGACGACUGACUGUUGCACCGGCAAUCCUCCGGCUAUAAAUCCAUAAACAUAGAUUAGUCACUCCUAAAUACCCUUAGGUCAAAUGACUGACCUACCCCUGGUCCAAGGUCAACUCCUUGGUCAAAGUCAACUUCAAGUUGACAGGACUCGCCGAGUCAUGGCACAGACUCGCCGAGUCCCUCUCCUACUAUCCCAGCACUAACUCAUCAAGUCCCUCUUCCUACUCACUGAGUCACCCUUAACUCACUACUUGGGAUGAUUAGACCGACUCGCGAUCCGACUCGCUGAGUCCGAGAACAACUUGCCGAGUCCCCAGAGCAGAUCUCAUACUCGCUUCCAAAUCCUCACUAGAGCAUCCAUCUUGAGGAUUUGGGUUUCUGGGACUAUUGCUACACGUUAAAUUACUAAUCCAGUGUGUAGCUACGAAGGGUUGGACCUUCUACACUUAAACCCCUCUUAAAUCAGUAACAGUACAUAUGACUCGCCGAGUUUGAAGAACAACUCGUCGAGUUCCAGGCAAUCUUCAAAGGACUCACCGAGUUGUUCAUCCAACUCGUCGAGUCUAAGACCAUCUUCAUAGAACUCGCCGAGUCCACUUUGGAACUCGCCGAGUCCCUUCAACCCUCCUCCCAUACAGACCAAAUCUGAGACAUGCAACGGUUCCAAACCAUAGAUCUAAGCUCCCAGGGUAUGCUUAUCACGUAAAGUUGCAAACUUUACGUGCAUGCAUGGCCCUAUGAGCUCCAAAAGGCAAUUCCAAGCUCUUUAUGAGGUCAUACACUCAAUAGGGACCUCAAUCACUUCAACCACAGAGACUUUACACUUCUAAGGUGUCCAUAAGGUCUACAUCUGAAGUCCUUUCAGAACAUAGAGCAUAACCACAUGGAGUUUGAGGUUUUAGGGCUUGAAAACCAUCAAUUAGGGACAAAAGGGGGAUCUAAUGAACUAGUGAUCAAGGUAGGAACUUUUUUACCUGAAUGGAAGCUUCUCACAGUGUAGAUUUCGGAUCUACUUCCCCUCCUUGCACUCUUCAACCUCCUCCUUCUUCUUCUAAGCUCCAAACUUCCUUCACAAAGCCAAGAAUCACUCACAAGAACAAUAGGGGAGCUAGGGUUUCACUCAACAGCUCUCUGGAAGUGUUAAGGACAAGGGAGGCCGAGUUAGAGUGUUUAAAUAGGGUGCAAACCCCUGUAUUAGGGUUUUUGUCCAGACAGCGGCUACUCGCCGAGUCCGCAACUUAAACUCCGCGUCUCAUCUCGCUUCUACUCGGCGAGUCAGUCCUUCGACUCGCCGAGUCCAAGGCCAAAAUUGCAAAUCAAUAAAAGGAUUAAAUACAAUAAUACGUACCAAGAAUCAGGUGCUACAAAUCUCCCCCACUUAUUUUAGAUUUCGUCCUUGAAGUCUGUUGCUCGCUCCUGAAACAGCUCGGGGUAAUGCUCCAUCAUCUCGUCCACUCUGACCCCUUCCGAUGCUGCCAUUGCACCUUCACGAGUUCCACUCUUUUGGUUCCUCAGAGCCUUCGACUUCCGGUCAAGGAUCGCUACAGGCAGCUCGAUGUAAUUCAGGUUGUCAUCAACCUGAAUGUCUUCUAAGGGUAUCACCGCUGAGUCGUCCACCAGGCACUUCCGCAGCUGGGAGAUGUGGAAAGUGUUGUGGAUCUGAUUGAGAUCGGCUGGAAGUUCCAGCCAGUACACCACCUUGGCCACCCGGGCUAUAACCCUAAACGGUCCAAUAAACCUGGGACCCAACUUGCCACGCUUCCCGAAUCGAAUGACGCCCUUCCAAGGCGACACUUUCAGGAGAACCAUAUCCCCGACCUGGAACUCCAGGUCUGAUCGGUGCUUAUCGGCAUAACUUUUCUGCUGAGUCUGAGCAGUCAGAAGCCUGCUCCGGACCUGUUGAAUCUUCUCUGUCGUCUUGAGCACUACUUCAGUGCUCCCCAUGACCCUCUGGCCAACCUCACCCCAGCAUAUCGGGGUCCUGCACCUCCUCCCAUACAACAUCUCGAAGGGAGGACGGUCGAUACUCGCAUAAUAGCUAUUAUUAUACGAGAACUCCAACGGAAGGUAGGUAUCCCAGCUACCUCCAAAGUCUAAAACACAUGCCCGUAGCAUGUCCCCCAGAGUCUGGAUGGUCCGCUUGCUCUGGCCAUCCGUCUGUGGGUCAAAGGCGGUGCUGAAAUGCAGACGAGUACCCAACUCGUCGUGGAAUUUCUUCCAAAACCUGGAUGUGAACCGCACAUCCCUAUCCUAAAUCACCGAAACUGGCACUCCGUGUCGCGCCACCACCUCACUGAAAUAGAUAUCGGCCAAUUUCUCGGCCGAGAUGCUCUCCUGAAUCGGGAUAAAGUGGACACUCUUGGUCAAUCNNNNNNNNNNAUGACCCAAAUCGAAUCCACUCCCGGCGCGGUCCUGGGAAGCUUGGUGAUAAAAUCCAUCGUGAUGUCUUCCCAUUUCCAAAGCGGAAUAUCCAACGGCUGCAUCUUGUCGAGCGGUCUCUGAUGCUUGGCCUUGACCUUUCUGCAGGUCAAGCACCGCUCCACGUACCAUGCCACAUCCGCUUCAUGAAGGGCCACCAAUAGUCCAGACGAAGAUCCCUAUACAUCUUCGUCACCCUGGGAUGAAUGGAGAACCGGUAUUUGUGCGACUCCUCCAUCAGAUUCUGACGCACGCCUCCAUGAGAAGGGACCCACACCCUACGGUGAAGAGUCAAUAACCCUCGACUAUCAUAGUCGAAGGAGGAAACCUGCCCCACAAUUCGCUCACNCUCCUGCUGAGCCUCCUGAAUCCGCUCCAACAGCAGAGUCACCACUGUCAUCCUCAGGCAGAUAUCUCGGAUCGGCACUGCCUUACGACUAAGCGCAUCAGCCACCACAUUGGCUUUCCCCGGAUGUUAAAGGAUCUCACAAUCAUAAUCCUUCACCACAUCAAGACACCGACGUUGUCUCAUGUUCAGAUUCGGCUGAUCUAUAAGGUACCUCAAGCUCUUUUGGUCCGUGUAAAUCGUACAGCGAACCCCAUAGAGGUAAUGACGCCAAAUCUUGAGGGCGAACACCACAACCCCCAGCUCCAAAUCAUGCGUCGGGUAAUUCGCCUCGUAAGGCUUCAGCUGCCACGAUGCGUAAGCAAUAACGUGCCCUCUCUGCAUCAACAUUCGACCCAAACCCGGGAUGGACGCAUCGCAGUACACAACAAAAUUCUUUAUGCCCUCUGGCGGGGCUAAGAUUGGUACCUCGCACAAUCUCUGUCUCUACGUCUCGAACGCGUCCUGCUGCUCGAGCCCCCAACGAAAAACCACGACUUUCCUCGUUAGCCUGGUCAGGGGUACGACUAUCUUGGAGAAGUCCAAAAUGAAUCUCCGAUAAUAGCCCGCUAAUACCACGAAACUCCGAAUCUCAGAUGGAGACUUCGGAACCUCCCAUCUCAUCACGGCCUCCACCUUGGCCGGCUCUACCGAAAUCCCGUUCUGGUUGACAAGGUGCCCAAAAAACUGCACCUCGCACAACCAAAACUCAUAUUUGGAGAACUUGACAUACAAGCUCUCCCUCCUCAAAGUCUCCAGCACCUCUCACAGGUGCUUCUCGUGCUCUUCCUACGUCCUGGAAUAAGCCAAGAUAUCAUCAAUAAAUACUAUUACAGACCGGUCUAACAUCGGUCUACACACGUGGUUCAUGAGGUCCAUGAACGCAGCAGGAGCAUUGGUGAGCCCGAAGGGCAUCACCACAAACUCGUAGUGGCCAUAGCGCGUCUGAAACACGGUCUUCUGCACAUCCUCCUCUCUGACUCUCAUCUGAUGAUAUCCUGAAUGCAGAUCAAUCUUGGAGAACCAAGAUGCUCCCUGUAGCUGGUCAAAGAGGUCAUCAAUCCUCAGGAGUGGGUAACGGUUCUUCACUGUUACCUUGUUCAGCUCCCGGUAAUCUAUACACAUCCGGUGCGACCCGUCCUUCUUUUUCACAAACAGAAUCGGGGCUCCCCAAGGAGAACUACUCGGUCUAAUGAAUCCCUUGUCUAACAGCUCCUGCAGUUGUGAAGACUACUCCUGCAUCUCAGGAGGAGCCAACCAAUAUGGUGCCUUGGCUAUCGAAGCCGCACCAGGGACUAGGUCGAUCCUGAACUCCACCUGCCUCUCUGGAGGUAUCCCUAGCAACUCCUCGAGGAACACAUCCGUAAACUCUCACUCCACGGGCACAUCGCCCACUGUCGCCUUUCCCGCCUCCCGGGUAUUCAUAACAUAAGUGACAUAUCCUGCGUAACCCUGCUGAAGGUAAUGCCUAGCUCUCGCUGCUGAACAUAAGGUCGGUCCCCGCUGUGGCCUCUCGCCUUGAAUCACCAGCUCUCCCCCACUUGGGGUCUUGAUCCGCACCAACUGUUGUGCACAGUCGAUCACUGCCCCAUUGGGGCUUAACCAAUCCAUACCAAUAAUAAAUUUGUUCCCCCGCAAAGGUAUGGGAACCAAGUCCACCAGGUAGCGCUCCUCGAAUAAUCUCAGCACACAAUCUUGGAAUAUCGUCGAUGCUCGCACUGAACGGUCAUCUGCAAUCUCUACGUCUAGAGGGCAAUCCAACAUGCCUGAAGGCUCGGAAAAUCUCUUGUUGAGCGUAAGAGAAACAAACGAUCGGGUAGCACCUGAAUUAAACAAUACCUGAACUAGGAUACCGUUCACAUGGAACGAUCCCGUCACCACAUCGAGUGUGGCGUGUGCCUCCUCUGUAGUCAGCUGAAAGGCCCGACUCCUCACCACUGGAGCCUCCGACUUGCCCUGCCGACCAUCUGUGAUCCGUAGGGUCGCUGGAGCUGGGGCCUUCAUUGGCGCUGAUGCUGCUGUCAACUGGGGGCAAUUGGCCUUCUUGUGGCCCCUCUAGUUGCAGUGGAAACACAGCAACUCAGACGUCGAGAAGAUAGGUGCAGGGGCGGUACAAUCUCUGCUAAAAUUCCCCAUCUUGCCACACUUGUAGCAGCCCGACGAUCCCAACCUGCACGCCCCCUCAUGUGCCUUGCCGCAUUUCCUACAGUAGCCUCGGCUCGGUUGGCCUUUCGGCCCAGCAUCUGAUCCCUUAGGCUUCUUCCCCGAAGCCCCUGUAACCUGUCCCUCCUCUUCCUUCCUCUUCCGGAUAUGCUCCAGAUCAAUCUCCCUCUCCCUAGCCCUGGCAAGCAUGGAAUCCAGGGUAGGGCAAGCUGAAAAACUAACAUGCUCCCGGAUGUCAGCUCGUAGCAAGUCAUGAUAGCGGGUCCUCUUCAUAUCCUCAUCUCCCGCAUACUGGGGCACCAACAAUGCCCUCUCCCGGAACUUGGCGGUGAUCUCCGCCACAAUCUCCGUAGUCUGCCUGAUGUCCAAAAACUCUCUGGCCAGCUGAUGAAGCUCUACCGCUGGCGCAAACUUUGCUUGGAACCAGGUCACAAAAUCCGACCAUGUCAUAGCCUCAACAGUCGAGGCUCCCAAUGAGUCACCAACAAACUCCCACCAGUCUCUAGCUCUGUCUCUCAAACACCCUGUUGCAUAUCUCAUCUUUGACCCCUCAGGGCAGAAGCUGGUCAGCUGUGCGGACUCAAUGUCCGCAAUCCAUCGUCUGGCAGCAAUGGGGUCCUUCGCAUCAUGGAAAUUCGGCGCACCACUGCCCCUGAAGUCCUUAAAGGACAGUGUGCGAGAUCCUGACUGGCCAGAUGCCAUGUCACUCCUGAAUUCCCUGAGGCGGUCCUCCAUCAACUCAACUAUCCCUUCCUUGAUCGACCCGAAGAUGAUGAGGGUCGACUCAAGGAUGCCUCUGGUGAUCUCUGACGUGAUAAACUCGCGUAGCCCCUCGUGUACUGGCUCGGAACAUGAUUCCGAACCCGAUCCCUCUCCUGAACUGCCAACUGCUGGCCUCGGACGUAGUACCACCAUUCUACAAUACAUAAUACCAACCGUUAGUGAUAUUGAUACCUCUUGAGGGAUCACAUCUACUACAAGUUCCUUGGUCUUAUCUCAACUUUCCUCACUUCGGGUACGGAUCCUCUGCUUUUAGUAGUACGGGCCCAUACUAACUUCCACAUCUAUCCGUACCUUCUUCAAGGACUGCCUUGACUCCACCAGAUCCCUUUUUACCACUACUGAUCACUGCUAUCCUCAUCCUAGGCUUACCCUAGGGAAACUCUUUGGCCCUACCCAAACCUGUCCUCAGCUGCUGAAGGCCUCCUUGUAAUGCCAAUUAGCCAUCACCUGAAUAUCAUCACAUGUGAUGAGGCUCAGAUAAUCCUUUGAGUAACAGACUCGUCCCUACAAUGGUUAGACUCAAACAAGAGCUGUGCAAUAGGGCCAAAUCCAACACUCUGAGAUUAUUCAACCCUGACCACAUGUGACGUGACGUAUUCACCUAAUGGCUAACUCCCAUCACUCAUAGUCCCACAAAGCACAAAGCAAGCAGCAUUCGGAUGCAGGUAAACUACUCAAGCAAGUCUGUUCUCAUAGAGAGAAACCGCACUAGUAUACAAUGCUAAGCUCAUACUAUCAGGCAUAACCUAAACAGGCUAUCCUACUGCUGGCUACUCAACACUAGCAUGCAAUUCACAUAAGCUGAAGCACAUAAAUUAGGCACAUAAGGCAUCACUCCUAGACCCUUAGUCCUAUACUAGCAUGUUGUUCUACUGAACUGAUAAACACUGCAUAACAUUGUAUGGUUACUUUGGGGAAUACUUACUUGAGCUCAGCUGGUCGCGCACAUCACACACUUCGUUCUUUCUUAAAGCCCUUUACUUAAUCUUUCGGGAAACCUUUUUUUUUGAAAUCCUUUAAUCCCUCAAUUUGAGUUCAAACACCCCCAAAGACAUGUCCGAAUCCCUCAAACCAGGGCUCUGAUACCAACUUGUAACGACCCAAUUUUCACGUCCAAAAAUUUCAUUUUUAAAUCAAUACUUUGGAAAACAUUUCUGAAUAAACAUCAUUUGAUCCUAUCAUUUCAUAAACAUAUUUUGUGUCUCAAAACCAAAACAUAAAAACAACCGUAAUGUCAGAGUACAAAAUCCCUGAAUAACUCAUGGUGCGGAAAACAAUGUGCGUGUAUGAUGUGCUGCUACCGCGCCAGCUCCUUCCCCUUCAAAGAAGAGGUACCUGAAAACAAAAAUGUAAACUAUAAGCAUGAAUCUUAGUGAGUUCCCCCAUCAUACCACAUACCAUACAUCACAUAACAUACAAAUACUGUCAGGCAUAUCUGGGUGCCCGACCAACCCCUUCGGUCCUUUCGACCGGAUACUGCCUAGCAUAUCUGGGUGCUGGCCUCCCCUUCGGUCCUUUCGACCGGAUACUGCCUAGCAUAUAUGGAUGCUGGCCUCCCUUUCGGUCCUUUCGACCGGAUACUACCACAUAAUAUCAUAUCACACAUAUCAUAAUCUGGCUAGCAUGGUUGGGUACUAAACUACCCCUUCGGUCCUAUCGACCGGUAACCGGGGACUAAUUCACCCUUACUACCACUAUCACAUAACAUCAAAACAUACUAGCACAUAAACAUAUCAAGUAGUAGCAAACCUAGAUGAAUAUCACAAAAACAAUCAUCUAACAUACAACUCCUACUGGUGGGCCGGCAUUGUGGCCGUAGACCCAUCGUACUAAACCGCCUUGACUCCACCAGAUCCCUUUUUACCACUACUGAUCACUGCUAUCCUUAUCCUAGACUUACCCUAGGGAAAAUCUUUAGCCCUACCCAAACCGGUCCUCAGCUGCUGAAUACCUCCUUGUAAUUCCAAUUAGCCAUCACCUGAAUAUCAUCACAUGUGAUGAGGCUCAGAUAAUCCUUCGAGUAACAGACUCGUCCCUACAAUGGUUAGACUCAAACAAGAGUUGCACAAUAGGGCCAAAUCCAGCACUCUGAGAUUAUUCAACUCUGACCACAUGUGACGUGACGUAUUCACCUAAUGUCUAACUCCCAUCACUCAUAGUCCCACAAAGCACAAGGCAAGCAACAUUCGGAUGCAGGUAAACUACUCAAGCAAGUAUGUUCUCAUAGAGAGAAACCGCACUAGUAUACAAUGCUAAGCUCAUACUAUCAGGCAUAACCUAAACAGGCUAUCCUACUGCUGGCUACUCAACACUAGCAUGCAAUUCACAUAAGCUGAAGCACAUAAAUUAGGCACAUAAGGCAUCACUCCUAGACCCUUAGUCCUAUACUAGCAUGUUGUUCUACUGAACUGAUAAACACUGCAUAACAUUGUAUGGUUACUUUGGGGAAUACUUACUUGAGCUCAGCUGGUCGCGCACAUCACACACUUCGUUCUUUCUUAAAGCCCUUUACUUAAUCCUUCGGGAAACCUUUUUUUUAAAUCCUUUAAUCCCUCAAUUUGAGUUCAAACACCCCCGAAGACAUGUCCGAAUCCCUCAAACCAGGGCUCUGAUACCAACUUGUAACGACCCAAUUUUCACGUCCAAAAAUUUCAUUUUUAAAUCAAUACUUUGGAAAACAUUUCUGAAUAAACAUCAUUUGAUCCUAUCAUUUCAUAAACAUAUUUUGUGUCUAAAAACCAAAACAUAAAAACAAUCGUAAUGUCAGAGUACAAAAUCCCUGAAUAACUCAUGGUGCGGAAAACAAUGUGCGUGUAUGAUGUGCUGCUACCGCGCCAGCUCCUUUCCCUUCAAAGAAGAGGUACCUGAAAACAAAACUGUAAACUGUAAACAUGAAGCUUAGUGAGUUCCACCAUCAUACCACAUACCAUACAAUCACAUAACACACAAAUAUUGUCAGGCAUAUAUGGGUGCCCGACCUACCCCUUCGGUCCUUUCGACCGGAUACUGCCUAGCAUAUCUGGGUGUUGGCCUCCCCUUCGGUCGUUUCGACUGGAUACUGCCUAGCAUAUCUGGGUGCUGGCCUCCCCUUCGGUCCUUUCGAUCGGAUACUGCCUAGCAUACCUGGGUGCUGGCCUCCCCUUCGGUCCUAUCGACCGGAUACUGCCUAGCAUAUCUGGGUGCUUGCCUCCCCUUCGUUCCUUUCGACCGGAUAUUGCCUAGUAUAUCUGGGUGCUGGCCUCCCCUUCGGUCCGUUCGACCAGAUACUGCCUAGCAUAUCUGGGUGCUGGCCUCAUCUUCGUUCCUUUCGACUGGAUACUCGGGGACUAUUUCACCCCUACUACUACCACAUAAUAUCAUAUCACACAUAUCAUAAUCUGGCUAGCAUGGCUGGGUACUAAACUACCCCUUCGAUCCUAUCGACCGGUAACCGGGGACUAUUUCACCCCUACUACCAUUAUCACAAAACAUCAUAACAUACUAGCACAUAAACAUAUCAAGUAGUAGCAAACCUAGAUGAAUAUCACAAAGACAAUCAUCUAACAUACAACUCCUACUGGUGGGCCGGCAUUGUGGCCGUAGACCCACCGCUACUGGAAGGUAACUCACCUCGAAAAGUAGCUGCUGAAAGUCUGCUUGCUAGACGACUGACUGCUGCACCGGCAAUCCUCCGGCUAUAAAUCCAUAAACAUAGAUUAGUCACUCCUAAAUACCCUUAGGUCAAAUGACUGACCUACCCCUGGUCCAAGGUCAACUCCUUGGUCAAAGUCAACUUCCAGUUAAAUGGACUCGUCGAGUCAUGGCACAGACUCGCCAAGUCCCUCUCCUACUAUCCCAUCACUAACUCAUCAAGUCCCUCUUCCCACUCACUGAGUCACCCUUAACUCACUACUUGGGACGAUUAGACCGACUCGCGAUCCGACUCACCGAGUCCGAGAACAACUCGCCGAGUCCCCCGAGCAGAUCUCCUACUCGCUUCCAAAUCCUCACCAGAGCAUCCAUUUUGAGGAUUUGGGUUUCUGGGACUAUUGAUAUACGUUAAAUUGCUAAUUCAGCGUGCAGCUACGAAGGGUUGGACCUUCUACACUUAAACCCCUCUUAAUUUAGUAACAUUUCAUAUGACUCGCCGAGUUUGAAGAACAACUCGUCGAGUUCCAUGCAAUCUUCAAAGGACUCACCGAGUUGUCCAUCCAACUCGUCGAGUCUAAGACCGUCUUCAUAGAACUCGCCGAGUCCACUUUGGAACUCGUCGAGUCCCUUCAAUCCUCCUCCCAUACAGACCAAAUCUGAGACAUGCAACGGUUCCAAACCAUAGAUCUAAACUCCUAGGGUAUGCUUAUCACGUAAAGUUGCAAACUUUACGUGCAUGCAUGGCCCUAUGAGCUCCAAAAGGCAAUUCCAAGCUCUUUAUGAGGUCAUACACUCAAUAGGGACCUCAAUCACUUCAACCACAGAGACUUUACACUUCUAAGGUGUCCAUAAGGUCUAGAUCAGAAGUCCUUUCAGAACAUAGAUCAUAACCACAUGGAGUUUGAGGUUUUAGGGCUUGAAAACCAUCAAUUAGGGACAAAAAGGGGAUCUAAUGAACUAGUGAUCAAGGUAGUAACUUUUCUACCUGAAUGGAGCUUCUCACAGUGUAGAUUUCAGAUCUACUUCCCCUCCUUGCACUCUUCAACCUCCUCCUUCUUCUUCUAAGCUCCAAACUUCCUUCACAAAGCCAAGAAUCACUCACAAGAACAAUGGGGGGCUAGGGUUUCGCUCAACAGCUCUCUGGAAGUGUUAAGGACAAGGGAGGCCGAGUUAGAGUAUUUAAAUAGGGUGCAAACCCCUAGAUUAGGGUUUUUGUCCAGACAGUGGCUACUCGCCGAGUCCGGGACCCAACUCACCGAGUCCGCAACUUAAACUUCGCGUCUCAUCCCGCUUCUACUCGGCGAGUCAGUCCUUCGACUUGCCGAGUCCAAGGCCAAUAUUGCAAAUCAAUAAAAGGAUUAAAUACAAGAAUACGUACCAAGAAUCAGGUGCUUCAGAAAAAUUCCAAGGGAAUGAUCAUACUAAUAAAAGCUAGGUAACUCAAUGCUUAUCGGAGUUAGCUAACUUCGAACAAAAGGAGAAUGAAUUUAUUGAAGCCUAUUACGAUCGAUUCAAUAAGCUCAUUUACAAGUGUACUAGGUAUGGUGUUGCCCGUACUACUCUCAAGUUCAACAUUACUUUCAUUCUAGGGCUGAAGAAGGAAUAGAAGAAUAUAUGUUUGAUGAUAAAGACUCAGGAGAACUUCAACACAUACUCAUAGUCGAAGCUCUACAACAUUUUGAAAGCUCACGAGUCUAAGGUGAAAGAGAUUGCAGAGUAAAAUAACAAAAUGAACUUUGGAGGUCCUUUGGCCAAACUAGCGAAAACUAAUGGGAAGGAAGCUUGUUCUGAUGGUGAAGCUGAUGAGAACAAAGAAUGUUUAUUGAUAAAUUCAGAUGACGAAGUUGUUGCAUGUUCAAAUAAUAUGUUAAAGAAGUUUUAUAAGAAGCCAAUAAGUGGAAACAUAAUAACAGAUCAGUUAAAAAGUCAUUGUCGAAUUCUGGUUUUGGUCAAAAGAGUGUCGAAAAAAUGGAAGAGAAGAAAGUUAAGAAGAAACCAAAUAGAUAUUCUAGUUACAAUUGCAGUUAUUGUAAUAGACAGAAUCAUCUUGCUUAUGAUUUCAUGUUAAGGAAGCAAGAGGAGAAGAAGGAGAAAGUAAAAGAUGAAUCCUAUUAUGCAAUGAAGAUUGAGGAGCUUCGUAUAAAGUCAAAGAAUCUCUCACUGGUUGUGAAGGAUUGAAAUGAUGAUGAUGGAACUUACGAAAUUUGGUCUUCUGGAUCUAACGACGAGGAGACAUGUUAUCCUGCUCAUGGAGUUAUGUUUGUGAAGCACGUUGUUAAUCAUUAUGAAGAUAAAAGCAUGUUUGGUGAGUUUAUGGAAGAGAGUGAAGAUGACAAACACUUGAUUUGGAAAGACAACAUCAUCUAUGCAUUUGAAGUUCGGAUACACCACAAAAUUCGAUUCGAGAUAAUGAGGACAUGUUUCCUUCAUUACCUUGUUGAAUUUAUCUGUUUCCUCAUACACUUGUUCAACAACAACUCUUGAAAUAAUUAUGUCACUAGAGUCAACUUCAUUAUCAUCAUCACUAUCAGUCAGACUGUCUUCCACAAUUACACGGUCACGGUCAUGAACUUUCGAAGUCGAGGGUUCGUCAGUGUUAUUCUUAACUAAAGAUUCAUCACAUUUUUCUUUACCCUUAUUUAUAGAAGUGACAUUAAUGACAUAUAACUUUGAACAAUCAACAACUUCCUCUUCCUCAAUUUCACUGAUAUUAUACGAAUCGUCUUUAAUAUCAGUAAAAUUGGUUUGUGAGUCAGAUGUCGAAUUCUCAGUUCUUUUCAAAAAGUUCCAUUUGUUCAUUUUUGGUCAAGAUCUUAUUUACAAUAUCAACAAGAUCAUUUGCAUCUAAACAUUCAUCAAUCUUAACAAUACCAUAUGCAUAUGAAUCAUUUGGGACCUUGUCAAACUCAUAUAUCUAUUUCUCACAGUCAUAGGAAGUCGAAUCAAUUUUCUCCCUUCAGUAAGCUAAAAAGGGUAAAAGCUUCCUAUGUUGUUCUUUACUAAUGUCUGAUGAAUGAUGAAAAUCAGUCAAUUUACCAUAAAGUCGCUUAGCAGAAUUGCAAUAGAUGUUUCUCUGUUUUAGCAAAAUACAGUCAUCCAUUUGUAGACAAUCUCUAUCACACAUAACAUUCGUCAAUUAUAAUUCAAUGUUAUCUAUCCUAUUGCACUUUGACUCAAAUCUUCUCUGACAAUCUAGUAGUAAGGAUUUUGAUUUUUAGUGUCACAACUAAAAGAGAUAAGUAUGUCAUUAAAGCAAGAUAUUGUAUUAUCGAAAUCCGACAAAAUAGCAUCAUAUGAACUAAAAGGAAUUUCAAAGUAUUCGAGAAGAGUACGUAUCUUAGAAGUCAUAGGAGACUUGUCAUCACUAGUAGUAGAAAAACAUUUUCCAGUCACCAUCCCUUCUUUCACACUUCCCUUUUCGAAAUUGGCAUACAUAGCACUAUGCGUGGGAUUUUGCAUCUCUUCAUCGUUUGAUGUAGAUGACCAGAUCUGAUAUGUGCCAUCCUCUUCACCACUUCCUUUAGCCACCAAAGAUACACCUUUCGUAUUUGCUCUAAACUCUUCAAGCCUCUCCACAUAUUAGGCUUGGUCUUUCACCCUAUUCUUCUUCUUCUCUUCUCUCUUACUUAACAUACACUCACUAGCUAUGUGGUUCGCACCAUUGCAAUAAUGACAAUCAAACCCAGAGUCACCCUUUAGCUUCUUCUCUGUCUUCGCAUCCUCAGACUUAACUUCCUUCUUCUUCACUUUCUUCUCCUCUCUCACAUUCUUCCCAAACGAACUUCCUUUCAAUUCACUUGUUUUAUACUUCAAAUUGAAUGGCUUAUUGAAAAAUUUCUUCACUUUAUUGUUUGAGUAAAAAGCCACAGCUUCAUCAUCAUAAUUAACAAUCAGUCCUUCAUAUUCUAAUCCUUCAUUCUCAGUUGACUCGAUCUCAACUUCUCUACUUGUCACCUUCGACAUCAUAGCUAGAGGACCACCCAAACUUUUUCUCAUUUCCUCAGCUAUCUCAUUGACUUUGCUUUCUUGAGCCUUCAACUUAUUCUAAAGAUCACUAAGAGAAAAGUUGUCGAAGCAUUGUUGGGUUUUUAUUAUCAAACUAACAUUGCGCCACUCCUUGCAAAGCCCCAUUAAGAAAGUCAAGUUGUACUCCAUUGUCGACCUAUUGAAUCCAUAUCUGCUACACUUGAAGAUUAAUUCAUUCAGACAAUCGUAGUAAAGCUCAACAUUCUCACUUUCUUUCUGCUUGAAUUAACCUAACUCAAGCCGACAUUGAGAACUCUUUUUGUUUUCUCACUUCCUUGGUACUUCUCCUUCAAUGUGUCCCAAAUUUCCAUGGCAGUAGAACAUCCACGGACAUAGUUAUACACAACAGGUGGAAGAUCACCUCGCAAUCCAUGCAUGCAUCUCUUAUCAUUUGCUUUAAACUUGUUAGUUUGAGUAGUUACAUCAAUGGAUAAACCAGCACUUCCGACAUCAGAAAGCAUCGAUAUACGAAAGUUACCGCUCUUAACACACCUCCAUAAAUCUUCAUUUAACCCUGUGAGUUAAUACUCCAUCCUGUCAGCCCAUUGUUCAUAGUAUUCGGGGAUUAACAUAGGAAUUUUGGUUGAAGAACCCAAAAGAUGAGAAAACUCUGACAUCGUGUUCAUAUUGAAGUUAGCCAUUGUUGUAUGGACGAGAUUUGAGAAAAGCUUCAAAAAUUAAGAUCUGAUAGAUGAAACUUCCAGAAAUCAAACACAGAACACUCAAUAUAACAAACUAAAAGAAGAAUAGAAUCAACACAGAUGAUCUGAAAAGAUUUUCAGAAUCAAAAGUGUUGAAUAUUCGAAUCUUGAACGAGAUUCAAAAACUUUUGAAAACUUGAGAAAAUAAGAGAUCAACCAUAAGAAUCCCGCUCUGAUACCAAAUGUAGUUCAUAUUUAUCGAGUAUAUGAAAUGAAAUCAAAGUUUGUAAUUGAAUCAAGAACACACAAGUAAAUAUAAUCUGGAUGGCUCGAUAAAACUUCUGAGAUACUAGUGAGUUUCUUAGAGUAAGAACAUUGAAGGCUCAAAAGUUACUCUAACUCUAGCACCUAUCCCUAUUUAUAGGAAUGAUAGAAGUUUACAAAAAAUACAUAAGGGAUAAAGCAAUUAAGCUUUGACAUAAAAAUGUGCCCUUACAUAAAACGAACAUGUAUUACAGACUUCGGCACUAACAAAUAACGAAGGACACUUCGAAACCUCACAACUAAAUUCGAACUCAACGGUUCGAGUAUUGCAGCCAGGGGUUGAGUGAUUGGUAAAUGGAUUGGGACAUCACUGUCAUCGAUAGGGGUAAUGUACUUCCAAAUUUCCACAUUCGUAGUAAAUAUAGAGUAGACAUGUGAUUUUCAUAGUUGGGAUGUAGUCCCCACAUAAUUCCAUAAGAUUGUGGCUUUCUUUGUCAACAAGUAUGGCGGCGUAGGAAUGCACAAAAGUAUUUUUUUAUUGUAUGGUUGCCUUGAGAUGAGAUCAGGGGUCUACUUUCUUAAAUUAGGUUAGGUCAGGUGCUAGUUGAUUAUUUUAGGAACCAAGGGGAGUGAAUCGGUAAGAGAAAAUUUUGUCGUCUCUGAUGUAUCUUGACUAAGAGAAUGAUGUGUCUUAUAUUCAUGAGUAAUGCUCACGAUGAAUUGUUUGUUGUGGAAUUAUAGGCGAGGAGUGUGGUAGCUCAUUUGUUUCUAGAUGGAGAAUCGGUGUCAUGAAUGGACAAAAUUAUUGUUUAUGCAUAUGCAUGGGGUUUUGAUGUUCGAGGUAGUUAUGUUUGGGAGGUUUUCGAGGUCUCCAUCUAAGAUUAGGAAUAAUUUUGAGUUCUCUUGGUCUUUAUCAGGAAGACCAACUUAUGUUGUGUUAUAUUCUAAAGUUUUGGGAUGCUAUGCAUCUGUUUGAACCGGUUUGAGAUUUGGUUUGUCUGCAACGUCAUAUGGUGGUAGUCUGAACCCUAAGUGGGGGAGAAUUGGCUAUUUUUCUUGAAGGAUCAUCAAUAUAUUUGAGUUUAUGAUUUUAGAAGAAUGCUCCAUAGGGGUUUUCAUUUUGGGCAUGUAAAACUUUGGUUCAGGAUUUGGUCAGGACGAAGGUACAUAGCAAGUUGUCAUCAGAUGUAUGUGUUCAGGAAUUCUAGUGUCGUCUUCGCGAAAAUAAGAUGUUGGAUAAGAAGCUUUUUGUUGCCAUUGGUUCCUUUCAUAAUGUUAGUGAAUAGAUCAAGAGGCGUUUGGGAUGCUCAGGUUGAGCAUCGAGUGUUGAUGGAUUUUUUCAACUCGUUAUAUAGAUUGCUAUCCAUGUUCUAGGGUGGGUAGUUUUUGAUCGAUAAAUCAGCUUCAGAGUUUGGUAUGUUUGUUUCACAUGGGUUUUUUAGUAGUGUAUUGGGUUAUUGGGUUAGUUGUCAAUGCUUUCUCGAUCGUUGGUCUUUUCAUCCAUCAUCAAAAGUGGAGGUUCUUCGAAAGUUUCGAGUUGUGUCAGUUGAAGCUUAAUGGAUGUGUCAACCUAUCGUCAAAUUCCAUAUGUUUUAUAUCUACUUUGGUGUCCGGGUAUGUUUACCCUCAAUUGUGGAGUAAAAUUUUGAUUCAUAACAGGCUCAAGUUUGGCAGUUAUCCUUGGUUAUUGGAAGUUUAGAUGUUGGGGCAGUAUUGUUCAACAUUUCUAGAUCACCUUGGAAGUUUUCUCGAGCUAUUGCAUAUAGGUGGGAUCUGUUCAGAUUCAAUCAAUAUGGGGAAUCUUGUUUCGGUCAUUCAUGAGGAUGUUUCUGUUAAUGGUUGAGGUUCAUCAUUUCAUUAAAUUUGUUGGUACCUCGCCAUUUGGGUAAGGCUGUGAGGAUGAAAGAGUGCAGUAGAUCCAGGGUUGGUUGUCUAUCUCCCCUUGGGGGUGUACAUUGUGAUAGUGCCUCGACUAUGGUCAUGAAGGAUGUAAGUGGUAUGAGUAAUAUAUCAUGAGACCGCCUGGUUAGUAUUAUUAGCAUGAUUAUCAUUUGGGUUAUAACUUUCGAUUCGGAACAAGAGUGUGACCAUCUAUCUCAUUCUAUGGUUAUAUGAGACCAUGUUUUCGUCUAGUUUUAUGUUGAUAUCAGUCUGUGUUUUGAAGGGAAUUGUGUGUGAUAGAAGGUUAUGGCCCAUGUUGUGCUUGGUUAGCAUUGAGAAGGAUGUUGAUUAGGUUCUUGCAGGUCAGUGCACUGGUGGUUGGGUAUCUUUAGGCCCCUAUGGUGCUGGUCGCAAGUCAUCAGGCCAUUGAUGUGAUAACAGCAAGAUCCGUAUAGUAUCGUGAGCUUAUUGUUUAGUGUUUAGCAGGUGUCACGAUGUACCGUGAAUCAAUGGAAGUAUGAUUUAUACAUUUAAGACCCGAUAGUCUUUUGAUUGGGACUCUUAGGUAUCGAAUCAUUAGCUUUUUGGGUGUUAGUGCAUUGUGGGAGUCGGGAGAGUCAGUGAACAGCUGGUUUGGAUCAUGUGGGCAGUUAAAGGGUGUUGGGAAUAAUAAUUGUGCAUCAGUAGUCGCUUGUAGAGCAUUUGCAUUAUGAACUCUAUCUGCUUGUGGGUUAUCUAUCAGGAGUUAGGUUACCAAUGUUGGGCAUCGAUUACGGAAUCUCGAGUCAUAAAGUUCAUAAGAUUGUAGAGCUUCUCAUUACCUUUAUGUGGAUAUAAAGAUUGUCGAAAAUGGAGUUGGAACGAAGAAGUUAUUAUUGUUUGAAGUUAAGAAGGUUUGGGGGCUUAGUAUAGUACGCUAGGCAUACUAGGUAUAUAUGGAGUACAUUAGGAGUACCUGGAGUAUGCUGGGCAUACUUAGGUUCUCAUGGAGUAUUUUGGGUGUACGCGAUUAGUGCCCAAACCCUGGUUUGAGCCCUAUUUAAGCUCCUUAACUUCCCCAAACCCAUUACAUUCUUAGCCUCCACCUCUCCAACACCCUCCCUUGAAACCCUAACCCUAGUUUGAGCCUUGUGAGUAAAAAGAAGGUUUUUUAAGUGCUAUGGAGUGUUCUUGGUGCAUCUUGGAGAAGAAGGAUCUCAUUAGAGAAGUGAUGGUUCCAUUGGAGUUUGUAGAUCUCGACUUUGCACAUCUUGAUCUUUCUUUUACAGGUAUAAAGUUUGAAUAUUGAUGAUGCAUUUGAUAGAUCUAGCUAAUGUUGGGUGUUAUGAGCUUUUGGUCACUUUAGUGCAUAAAGUUUAAAUCUUGAAAGUUUGUGACCUUGUUAUGGAUAAACUUGGAAACUUUAUCCAUCUAAACAUCAUAUUUAUUCAGAUCUAAAAGCUUGGACUUAGACUUAAUGGAUAAAGUUGGAAAAGAUGCACGUUUGGUCCCUUUAAGAUUUAAAGACUAGAUCUUGAUUGGUUGGACCAUUCUAAUGGAUAAAGUUGGAAAGUUUAUCCAUUAUGGAGUUAUUAAGAACCAUAAAAAUUCAAUCUUGAUGUGUUAUAUUGGACCAUGCAUGAGUUAGGGCUCUUAUUAUGGGUUUUAAUGGUCAAAAGCAAGUAUUGGGUCCCAUUGAGACAUGCCAAGGAGUAAAGUUGCCAACUUUAUGUGUUAAGACAUUAUUUAGGAUCAAGAUCUGAUAAGUAGACUUAGUGGCUUAACCAAUUUUUCACUUAAUGGUGAGAUUGGCCUGUUGUGGAGUACGUUGGGCGUACUCAACUCAUAUGCAGCACAUUCUAGCCAAAGGUGGCGCACGUCGAGCAUAAGUCUGAGUACACUAGGCGUACUUAGAGGCUAUUGACUUUCGUUGAAUUUUAAGAUUUGGGCCAUAUUUGGACUAUUAGGGUUUUAGGCUAUCUUGGGCCACUAGUCCUUUUAACUUUGGGUCAUUGUUAGGCAUUGAGCCUUCUUGGAUUUUGACACAUAAUCGGAUUUGGGUAUCAUUUAGAAAUUUUUGCCAUAUUGGGCUUUUGAUGCCAUUGGGUUAGGCCUCGAUUAUUGGGCCAAGUGAGAAAAAGGUAAAAUGGUCUUUUUACCCUGGAAGAUGGACAAAUGAAUCAGAUUCCUAGUUAUGGUUUAUGGCCCAAUUAUUAAUUGAUUAAUUAGCGCGGAGAUUAUCCGCAUUAACUGUUCAAGCAUUUAUUUGAUUUUCAGCGGGUUAAGGUAAGUCUCCUCCUAGUGUUUGGUGGGUCGAAUGCACCAAUGUCGGCCCAUGGAUUAUUAUUAUUUUUAUGUUAGUUUUCUGUGUGACUCUUGCAUGUGUUGUAUGUAUGUCGGGCGGGGGCCCGAUGCUAGGCGGGGGCUGAUGAGUGUAUUAUAGUAUGUUAGUUGUCUUUGUGACUCAUGUAUGUAUUGUAUGCAAUUGCAUGUAUAACGGGCGGGGCCUGAUGAAUGUAAUGGGUGGGGCCCAUCUCAUGUUCUUACAGAUCUGUUCCGAGCGGGGCUCGAUGCCGGGUGGAGCCCGAUGGUUGUUAGGCAUGACCCAUUGUAUGUUUGGUAUGUGUGGUAUGUAAUAUUUUUGGGAACUCACUAAGCUUUGUGCUUACGUUUUUAUAGUUAUGGUUUCAGGUACUUCUGGUUUGAAAGGAGGGUCCAGCUUGAUCGCAACGCAUCCCCCCAUGUUUUCGCAACUUUAUUAUUUUGGGAUUGUACUAUGAUAACUAUUUUCGCUCUGAUAUACUUUUGAAUGUUUAGAAAAGGAUAAUCGGUGUUUAUGAUUAAACUAAAAAAGAAAUUUUUACCUUAUAAUUUUUGGGACGCUACACGUUAUUGAAGCUCAAGUGUUUAAGGAUUCGGAGUUUCAAAGAAAAAGGAAAACAUUUUCUUGAACAAAAGUCGGUUCUUUACCAACAAUUUAAUAAAAAAAUUUACAAACCAAAUUUUUGUUACAAAAAGAAAUGAGGAUAAAGUUGAUCCAAAAAUAAAUGAUUUAUUGAAAGAAGAAAAUUUAAAAGUGAUUGAUAAAGGUUUUUAUUCAAAUCAAAAUGUUGAGGAAAAUGGUUUGAAUCAUAGAUAAAAAACUUUUCAACAUCAAAAGAGUAAAUUCUUUUUUUCAAAAGAGAAUAAAAAUAACAAAAAUGGUGUUUGGGUUGUGAAAACUACCAAUUCUGGUGCGAAGUCGAAUCAGAGAAGAGUUGUAAUAAGUCUUUACUAGAUGAUUUGAAGAAUAAAAAAGUAAUGACUCAAACUUUCGAAAAUAAAGUUUCUAAAAAAAACUCGAAAACAAAUCUUAUUGGAAAAAAAAGAGAUUUUUAGAAAGAAAGAAAAUUACAACAAAUAUCACCACAAACUCAAGAACAAGAUAAUCACAACAAUAGAAAACUCACUUUUCAAAAGGAGCUUUGAAAGUUGUUCACAAAGGUGUCAACAAAAGUGUUGAGAACAAAAAUUAAAAUGGUUUUUCAUAAAAUUGAAUGUUGUUCAAAAUUCAAAGAAUGAACAAAUUCAUAAAGGUCCAAAUUUUGAUCAAAGGCAUGUUCACAAGAAUCUUCCCAAAAAUCAUAAAAGUUUUCAAAAAGAAUCUCGUUUUUUAUAUCAAAAUCGUUUUCAACAAAAAGCACAAAAACCUUUUCGAAAACAAGUUUCUCAAAACCAACAAAGGUUGUGAAAGGCAAAAAGGAAAUGAAAAUUUUCAACCUGAUGGUCCACGUUUUUCCAAAUCCUAAUUCAAGACGCAAAUCGAAUGUUUUAUUUGUCAAAGGCAAAAAGGAAAUGAAAAUUUUCAAUCGAUGGUUUGAAGGAAAAGAAAAUAAAUUUCAAUCAAAAGAGUAUUUUCAAUAACAAGUCCAACACACUUUGUGAGAAUUACUUGAAUGAAUCAAUGGGUGGCAGUACUUCAUCAAGAGAAUCAUUGUCGAAGCCAUCAAAAUGGAAAGAAGUUAAAACAAUCAAGAAAGUUGAUUUUUCUGAAAGAAAUGUUGAAAAAGAGAAUCAAAGUUGAUGCUUCGAUAUUAAACGAUUUUAUUUUUGUGCCAAAAUCUGAUGAAGUUGAUUUAAUUGAUAAAAUCAAAAGAAAAGUUCGUAGUAGGAUUUUUAAUUCAACACUACCCACACAUUUUACACAAAUAUUGAAGUACCUAAAAGCCUCUAGGACCUAAAUCUCUCUGAAUGAUUGUAGAUUUCAUGUGAUGACCAAUAUAAUGAAAACCGAUACAUUGAAAGGGGAUGCUCUCAUCACAUGAGUAGAAGGAAAGAGAACCUGAAAGAUUUUAGGAAGUUAGACAAUGUUGGAGUUGUAAAGUUUGGUAAUAAUAAAAAAUGAAAAGCCAAAGUAUAUGGGAAGGUUACAAAUGGGAAUUUCACUAUGAAUAGAAUCGCUUAUGUUGAAGGUUUAAAGCACAACCUUAUAAGCAUCUCUUAACUUGUCGUGGGUACUAGGAAUCAAGUUCUGUUUGAUGAAGAAGGAAAUGUGAUUUCGAACAAAGAAAAAAAUUGUUAGAGUCGAAGAAGAAGGGCGAUAUGUUCGCUCUGGACAUAAAACCAAUAGUUGGCAUUCCUUAUGUUUGCUUAUUAUCAAAGGCCACUUCUGAUCUCAGUUGGGUUUGGCAUCAAAGGUUUUCUCAUCUUAAUCCAUAUUCUAAUAAAUGAAUAGUUCUAAUCUCAUUUUGUCAAGUGCCACUCUAAUACUACUCAUCAUUAAUAUUAUGUCAUGUGUCAUGUGGAUAUAUUAGGCAACUCAUUUCAAAAUUCAAAUUACAUUUUCUAAUUAUACGUUAAAUUUGAAGUUAUAAUAACUUUAAAUUUUUGAUAUAUCUCUUAAUUAAUAAUUUAUUUAAAAUGAUUUAUUUAAAAUAAUUGAUUAAUAAUAAAAAAAUUUAUUAUGAAAGUUUAAUUGAUUUUAUAACCUGCAGUUCCCACGGGGUAUAAACUAGUUUCAAAUAUAUGAAUAAACUUGUUUUAAAUGAUCUUGUUUGAGGUUUACCUAUUCUAAAAUUUAACAAUGAUUCUUUGUGUGCAGCUUGUGAGCAAGAGAAACAACAUUGACAAGGUCAUCCUAUAGUCAUCGAUUUGAAGGUUAUUGAACAAUUGGAACUUCUACACAUUGACUUGUGUGGUCCUUCGACUAUUGAGUCUCUCAAUGGGAAGAAAUGCAUGAUUGUCAUAUUAUAUGAUUUUUCCUGUUUCACUUGGGUUCAUUUUCUUAGACAGAAAUAUGAGACUACUCAAGUGAUGAUUGAUCUUAUCAAAAGUAUUGAAAUAAGUAUAAAAAAUAAAGUUCAACAUAUCAAAAGUGAAAAUGGAAUAGAAUUCAAGAAUCAAGUUCUUGAUUCAUUCUUGACGAAUCUUGGAAUUUAUCAUAAUUUCUCAUCUCCUUACACACUACAACAAAAUGGUGUUGUCGAAAGGAGAAAUCGAUCUUUGUGUGAAGUUGCUAAAAAAUGCUCACGUAUGCAAAUUUACCUCAAUAUUUUUUGGGCAGAAGCGAUUCCUACAGCUUGUAUCACACAAAAUCGUUCUUUCAUUCAUUAAAGAUUUAACAUCACACCUUAUGAAAUCAUUAACAGAAGGAAACGUAAUGUAAAAUUUUUCCAUGUUUUUGGUCGUAGAUGCGUUAUCAUGAAUCUAAAAGAUUAUCAUUCGAACAUUUACUUUGAAUGAGAUGAGAUUUUCGUCUGAACAUUUACUUCGAUUUUUAGUCACCUAAAAAUUUAUCAUUCGAACACAAAAUCCAAUUCUUCAUUUUUUUUUUAUGAGAUGAGAUUUUCAUCUGAACAUUUACUUUGAUUUUUAGUCACCUAAUUUUUCCAAAGCUUACAUGAUGUUGAUUAUACUGGUCAUACAAGUAUUUUCUUACAAUGUUUCACUCUUAUGUUAAGUGGCGAACUUGUAUGAAAAUUAAGCCUACCUUCGAAACUUGUUAAAAGUGGCCUUUCAAAAUUUCUCUAUAAGUAUUCAAUUGUAAUUCACGGGUAGAAGAAUGAGAAUUAGAACCGGAAAACCGGACCGGAAUCGAAACCAUUAGAACCGGAAAAUGUAAAAUCGGUCCGGGUCCCAGGUUAAAGAAUGGUUCUAUCUAGGUUUUGGGUAAUCGGGGUUUCGGGUCCUUCAGUCCCAUGUAAACCGGGUUUAAGAUCUAGAAGCGUGUUAGGAACCGAAACCGGUAUUAGGGGCCGAAACCGGUUUCUGUAAAAAGUUUAUACCUUGCAUAUCUCAUUCGUUUGAAGUCAAUAAUGAUUUUAAACUAUAAUUUUGUUAUUUUUAGUUUUAUAUUCAUUAAUGCCUUACAAAGUCGGGAUAUCAAAACCAAAAAUUUUAUGUUUUUUAACUGUUUUUGUUGUAUUCUGUGAUAGUUUUAAAACAUACAUAUCUAAUUCGUUUGUGGUCGGAAUAUCAUUCGCUUUUUUCCAAAGUGAAAUAUAGAGUUUGUGCACAUUUUAACUUUAAAUUUGUCAUUUUUAGUUUCAUAUUCAAUCAUUUAUAGUCUCCCGAAGUCGGGAUAUCAAAGUUGUGAAUUUUCUAUUUUUAGCUUUAUGUUUGUAUUUUGUGAAAUUUCAAAACAUACAUAUAUAAUUCGUUUGAAGUCUAAUCCCACAAGCAAAAGAAUUCUACAGUACCAAAUAACAUAAAAACAGAUUGAUUCUCAUAAAAAAAAAACAAAAAAAAGAUAUAAUUCUUCUAUUCAAAAAUUCAAUAUUCAAAUUAUUAUUUUUUACAUUACAGGAAUUAAUAAAAACUAAGAAAGAAAUAUGAUAGUCUACCAACAAAAGAAAUUAUUCUUAUUUGAUUGAAGUUACAGAAUUAUAAUGAGGUGUUUUGCAACAUGUAUUUUAAAGUUUGUAUAUGAUUUUAAACUAUAAAUUUGUUAUUUUUGAUUUAAUAUUCAAUAACUUAUCUACCAAAGUUUUAUCAAAGUUAAAAAUUUUCAAAGUUCAACCACUAAAUAGUUACCUAAAAAUUUCAAUUUUCCCGGGUUUUUCAGUUUUAGACUCACUUUGAUGUUUCUAGGUUUUCCAAUUUAAGACCCACUUUACCCAAUACCUUACCCAUAACCGACCCAGUACCAUCUCUUAUAUACCAAUCCGGUUUUUGAUUCUACAAAAUCUCAUUGUUUUAGACUCACUUUGAUGUUUCUAGGUUUUCCAAUUUAAGACCCACUUUACGCAAUACCUUACCCAUAACCGACCCAGUACCAUCUCUUAUAUACCAAUCCGGUGAUUCUACAAAAUCUCAUUGUUUUAGACUCACUUUGAUGUUUCUAGGUUUUCCAAUUUAAGACCCACUUUACGCAAUACCUUACCCAUAAAUAACCGACCCAGUACCAUCUCUUAUAUACCAAUCCGGUUUUUGAUUCAACAAAAUCUCAUUGUUUUAGACUCACUUUGAUGUUUCUAGGUUUUCCAAUUUAAGACCCACUUUACGCAAUCCCUUACCCAUAACCGACCCAGUACCAUCUCUUAUAUACCAAUCCAGUUUUUGAUUCUACAAAAUCUCAUUGUUUUAGACUCACUUUGAUGUUUCUAGGUUUUCCAAUUUAAGACCCACUUUACGCAAUACCUUACCCAUAACCGACCCAGUACCAUCUCUUAUAUACCAAUCCGGUUUUUGAUUCUACAAAAUCUCAUUAACCGGUUUCCGAAUUUGGACCCUCUCUCUGGGAAAUUAUAAAAAGCACUUCGGUUUUUCUCAUAAUUACCUUUAUAUCAAAGUUUCUUUGAUAUCUACACUAUCCAAAUUUUUCUUAUUUUGACUCUAUCUUUUCUUUUUUGGAAAACAUUGACAAUAAAAACGUUGAGGUUUUAGGUAUUACCAUUUACCAAAGGAAAACAUUGACACUAAAAACGUUGAGGUUUUAGGUAUUACCAUUUACCAUCUAAUACCAAGAUUUUGCAAAGUCUGAUUUAUAAUUUAAUUAAUCAUUUUCAUAAGUAAAUGAGGACAACCUUGUCUUUUACUUUUACUAUUUGAGACACCUUACAAAUGUUUUUGUCUUUCAAGUAGUCAUUAUCAAACUUUUUUUAGGGAUGAAAACAACAACUUAAAAAUUUCUUUCAAACAAAUCUAACUAUUUUUAGAAUCAAUAACUAAUAAAGUUCUUAUAAAAGUGUUCAUUUUAUAAGCACUAUUCUAGUAACUUUAAUUUAUAAAUUUAUAUUUGUCUGCAAUGAAGUUUAUAAAAUGUUCAUUUUAUUUCAUGGAAUUAAAUCGAUAGUUCAAGUAACUUCAGUUUACAGAUUUAUAUUUGUCUGAUUUGUUAAAUCAGACAACCAAUGAUCUCUCAAAGAGAUAAAAUAACCUAUAUUUAUUAUUUAUGCAAAUCAUUACCAAAUACUUUAUUUUUUUACUUUGAAUAAAUGGUUUUUUUGGAAUUUCAUACCAUGAAAUCGUUUAUUAAAUUAUAUAACUUAUAAAUUGAAUUAUCUAAUAGAAUUGUAGAAACAUCUGGUUGCACAAGCAAACAAUAACACUAGAGACACAAACCAGUCUGCUCCAAUUCAUUUAGGCAAACGUUCAGCACUAAAAACACUAUAGAAUAAGCGCAUUAGCGACUCUAAAAUGUUGCCAUAAAUCGCAUUUUAAUCAACAAAAGAACUUUAUAUAAUAAAAUAUAUAGAUACAUAAAGAUGUAAGAACAUCUGAAUGCAUAAGCCUUGUAAAACAGACAAAUGCCAGAAUCUCAGUUACAUAUUGUUAUCGGCAACGUACAGCACUGAAUACACUACCAAAAAGCAGAUCAGAGACUCUAAUUUGUUGCCUUUAAUCCCAUCAUUACCGAAUAAAUCCAAAUGAACUUUAAAAAAAAAUACUAAUCAAUGAAAUUAUUAAGAGAUUUUGAAAACGGAAUCAUAGGCUCAGUUGAAUGUUAAUCAUCAAAGAAAAGCGUAAAGCUUUCAGAGUUUGAUGGUAUGUUUGUUUUCGUCAUCAUUGCCUUGAUCAGCGAUUAGAAAAGGAAAAAACACAUGUUCAAACAUACAAAACAGAUGCGUGAAUUGGUAAAACGAGAGGAACACAGAGCCAUGAAUCUACCUCAUAAGCUGAUUCCUUGCAGACGUUAACAGAAAAGAGAGGAAUAAUUUUGAUGAUGAAGCUGCUUGAAGAACGUAGUUAUAUAGAAACUAAUGAAACCCUAGUUCCAAAUGUACACAAGCCCAUCUACAGAAUUUUU